CACCUCCCGUCGCUACUACCGAUGGAUUAUUUAGUGAAGUCUUUGAAGGUGAAUAUUUGAAUCGCUGAAGUUGAUCGAACUUGAUGAUUUAGAGGAAGUAAAAGCUUAUAUAUCAUGGUUGCCGUAGGUGAACCUGCGGAAG
rnacentral:ncRNA from 1 species